rnacentral:tRNA from 1 species
GGUCCUGUGGCCGAGUGGUUAGGCUCAGCUCUGCAAAAGCUGCUACUCCAGUUCGAACCUGGGCGGGACCU